UACGUAGGGUGCGAGCGUUAAUCGGAAUUACUGGGCGUAAAGCGUGCGCAGGCGGUUCGUUGUGUCCGAUGUGAAAGCCCCGGGCUUAACCUGGGAAUGGCAUUGGAAACUGGCGAGCUUGAGUGCGGCAGAGGGGGUGGAAUUCCGCGUGUAGCAGUGAAAUGCGUAGAGAUGCGGAGGAACACCGAUGGCGAAGGCAGCCCCCUGGGCUGACACUGACGCUCAGGCACGAAAGCGUGGGGAGCAAACAGG
rnacentral:rRNA from 1 species